rnacentral:rRNA from 1 species
AGUGAACGCUGGCGGUAGGCCUAACACAUGCAAGUCGAACGGCAGCACAGUAAGAGCUUGCUCUUACGGGUGGCGAGUGGCGGACGGGUGAGGAAUACAUCGGAAUCUACUUUUUCGUGGGGGAUAACGUAGGGAAACUUACGCUAAUACCGCAUACGACCUACGGGUGAAAGCAGGGGAUCUUCGGACCUUGCGCGAUUGAAUGAGCCGAUGUCGGAUUAGCUAGUUGGCGGGGUAAAGGCCCACCAAGGCGACGAUCCGUAGCUGGUCUGAGAGGAUGAGGAGCGACACGGUGAGUGAUAGACCGUCAAGCGCCAGAGGGGAAGACGGCAGGGGAAAGUGUGGACAAGGGGCGCAAGGUUGAUCCAUCCCUUCCGCGUGGAGGAAGAAGUCCUUCGGUGUAUAAAGCCCUUUUGUGGAGAAAAAAAAGCAGAAGGUGAAUCCCCCUCUGUUCGGAGGUGACCAAAAUAAUAAAGACGCGCCAACUUCGGG